ACCCUCUCAGGGUCGCACCUGGAGAGUUUCCAGUACUCUACCAGUCUCGACUAUGGGAGCGAGAGUCAGGUAGAGGCAUAUCCAAUCCAUUCCUAGCUUGGGCAUUGGCUAGUGAGUGGAAGGCAAUCUCCAAUAAAU